GAUGAGCGCUGGCGGCGUGCCUAAUACAUGCAAGUCGAGCGAACGGACGAGAAGCUUGCUUCUCUGAUGUUAGCGGCGGACGGGUGAGUAACACGUGGAUAACCUACCUAUAAGACUGGGAUAACUUCGGGAAACCGGAGCUAAUACCGGAUAAUAUUUUGAACCGCAUGGUUCAAAAGUGAAAGACGUUCUUGCUGUCACUUAUAGAUGGAUCCGCGCUGCAUUAGCUAGUUGGUAAGGUAACGGCUUACCAAGGCAACGAUGCAUAGCCGACCUGAGAGGGUGAUCGGCCACACUGGAACUGAGACACGGUCCAGACUCCUACGGGAGGCAGCAGUAGGGAAUCUUCCGCAAUGGGCGAAAGCCUGACGGAGCAACGCCGCGUGAGUGAUGAAGGUCUUCGGAUCGUAAAACUCUGUUAUUAGGGAAGAACAUAUGUGUAAGUAACUGUGCACAUCUUGACGGUACCUAAUCAGAAAGCCACGGCUAACUACGUG
rnacentral:rRNA from 1 species